GAAUCUGAAAACUACAAACUAAAAAANAAAACGCACACAUACAUAAGAAAUCAAACUUUGUCUAUAUAUCAUUAUUUACCAAACAACACUGGAGCAGCUUCAAAAAAAUAUAAAUGGUGAGCUGCUCACUCGGAAUUGUAGAUACUACUCCACGGUCUCCACCCAUCUGAAAUCCAUCUGCCAAAACAAACAAAUAAAUUAAACAGUCAG
rnacentral:lncRNA from 1 species